rnacentral:sRNA from 1 species
GCUACGACCUGGUCAAUGACUUCUACUGCGCGUGCGACGACGGCUGGAAGGGCAAGACUUGCCACUCACGCGAGUUCCAGUGCGACGCCUACACCUGCAGCAACGGCGGCACCUGCUACGACAGCGGCGACACCUUCCGCUGCGCCUGCCCCCCCGGCUGGAAGGGCAGCACCUGCGCUGUCGCCAAGAACAGCAGCUGCCUGCCCAACCCCUGUGUGAAUGGGGGCACCUGCGUGGGCAGCGGGGCCUCCUUCUCCUGCAUCUGCCGGGACGGCUGGGAGGGUCGUACUUGCACUCACAAUACCAACGACUGCAACCCUCUGCCUUGGUGAGUGGCACCCUGGGGGCCGCAGCAGGGGUGGGUGGGACUUGGCGUACCACGGGGGGCCGCCUGAUGCCCACCCUCUGCUCUGCAGCUACAAUGGUGGCAUCUGUGUUGACGGCGUCAACUGGUUCCGCUGCGAGUGUGCUCCUGGCUUCGCGGGGCCUGACUGCCGCAUCAGUGAGUGGCCAGACAGCCCCAGCCCCGGGAGCCCCUCAACCCAGCCGAGGUGUCAGGAGUCUGGGGACAUCAACGUCCACGUCCCUUGAAGGGCAGUGUGGCCACAACCACUUCCUGUCGCUCUUCUGAGCCUCAGUUUCCCCACAUGUCUAUGUCCUGUGGGGUCCUGCGGUGUACCCUGCCAAGUGAUUAACUGGGGGGCCCCAGCCUGGGGGACCAGUCCGGGGCCAAGGGAGCUAUGGGGGUUGGAGCGUGCAGCCUGACGUGGGCUCCUCUGUGGCCGCAGGGCUGUCGUCUCUGGGUGUUGGCCCAGCUGUCUGUCCGGCACCCCUUGGCUGGUCCGACGCAGCAGCUGGGGCUAAC